rnacentral:rRNA from 1 species
UACGUAGGGACCAAGCGUUUGUUCGGAAUUACUGGGCGUAAAGCGUGUGUAGGCGGCUUCGCAAGUCGGAUGUGAAAGCCCCGGGCUCAACCCGGGAAGUGCGUUCGAAACUGCAGAGCUUGAGUACCGGAGAGGGUGGCGGAAUUCCCCAAGUAGAGGUGAAAUUCGUAGAUAUGGGGAGGAACACCGGUGGCGAAGGCGGCCACCUGGACGGUCACUGACGCUGAGACGCGAAAGCGUGGGUAGCAAACAGG